GACGAACGCUGGCGGCGCGCUUAACACAUGCAAGUCGUGCGAUACCUUGAGCGAGUCUUACGACAAGUUCAAGAUAGAGCGGCGGACGGGUGAGUAACACGUGAGUAGCUGUCCUAAGGAGGGGGAUAACGCCUGGAAACGGGUGCUAAAACCCCAUAUGCCUCGCAAGAGGUGAAAGUGUAUUACUGCAGCCUUAGGGUGUGCUCGCGGCCUAUCAGCUAGUUGGUGAGGUAACGGCUCACCAAGGCUAAGACGGGUAGCCGGCCUGAGAGGGUGUACGGCCACACUGGAAUUGAGAUACGGUCCAGACUCCUACGGGAGGCAGCAGUGGGGAAUCUUGGGCAAUGGGCGAAAGCCUGACCCAGCGACGCCGCGUUGGGGAUGAAACCCUUUGGGGUGUAAACCCAUGUUGUAGGGGACGAAGAAAGUGACGGUACCCUACGAGGAAGCCCCGGCUAACUACGUGCCAGCAGCCGCGGUAAGACGUAGGGGGCGAGCGUUGUCCGGAAUUACUGGGCGUAAAGGGCACGCAGGCGGUGCGCCAAGUCGAGGGUGUAAAGUUACGGCUCAACCGUGACAUUGCAAUCGAUACUGGCGCGCUGGAGUGCGGGAGAGGGAAGUGGAAUUCCCGGUGUAGCGGUGAAAUGCGUAGAUAUCGGGAGGAACGCCAGUGGCGAAGGCGGCUCUCUGGCCUGGCCCUGACGCUGAGGCGCGAAAGCGUGGGGAGCAAACA
rnacentral:rRNA from 1 species